rnacentral:rRNA from 1 species
CCUACGGGGGGCUGCAGUAGGGAAUAUUGCUCAAUGGGGGAAACCCUGACGCAGCAACGCCGCGUGGAGGAUGAAGGUUUUAGGAUUGUAAACCCCUGUCAUGUGGGAGCAAAUUAAAAAGAUAGUACCACAAGAGGAAGAGACGGCUAACUCUGUGCCAGCAGCCGCGGUAAUACAGAGGUCUCAAGCGUUGUUCGGAAUCACUGGGCGUAAAGCGUGCGUAGGCUGUGUCGUAAGUCGUGUGUGAAAGGCGCGGGCUCAACCCGCGGACGGCACAUGAUACUGCGAGACUAGAGUAAUAGAGAGGGAAGCGGAAUUCUCGGUGUAGCAGUGAAAUGCGUAGAUAUCGGGAGGAACACUCGUGGCGAAGGCGGGUUCCUGGACAGUAACUGACGCUGAGGCACGAAGGCGAGGGGAGCGAAAGGGAUUAGAUACCCCAGUAGUC